rfam:Dipodomys ordii contig_56251, whole genome shotgun sequence.
GCUUACUUCACUUAAGCACAUAUACUAAAAUUGGAAUGAUGUAGAGAAGAUUAGUAUGGCCCCUGCACAUAUGACUUGUAGCAACAGAUUAGGAAUCAUAGAAGUAA